AAUAUCAACAUAUCCCAAUUUUGCCGAUCAUUGAUCAAAACACCGUGUACUCUUCGUCGUCCAUGGUUUUGCUUCGUACGAAUUCAAAGCUGUAACUCUUCGUCAAGCAACUCAACAACAACGUUCAAUUCUCAACGGCUCUUCUUCGAUUUUCUCUAUCCACGAUAAAACCCUCUCAUCAUUGUAACAUUCAAGCUUCAAAAGAUACCUACAUUUAUAAUAGAGCCGCGGAAGGAAGAUAUAUGCUAUAAAGACUUAAGGUACUUUGUCCAAUUGUUCUAUUGAAAUUUAGACUUGCGCUUUAUGUGCUACUGUUCUUCAAUUUUAUCGUGCACCGAUCUAUGGUUUGUAUUUUUUAUUCGAAGGAUGUGUGGGAACUAGUGCAAUGACAACAAAGUUUGAUCCAUCUUCUAGUAGCCCAGAUAGACCACUGUAUACUGCGCAGCGUGGAUCCCAUAUAGCUGCUUCAUUAGAUAGGUCGGGUAGCUUUCGAGAAUGCAUGGAAAAUCCAAUUUUGUCUUCUCUGCCCAACAUGUUGAGAAGUAGUUCUCCAGCAACUCAUGGGGAUGUGGAGAGCUUCUUCAAUUAUGUGCAUUUUGAUCCAAAGUUGUUGGUGUUAGAUCACAAAUCUAAUCGUCACGUGGAUUACAAGAGACAUGCUAAUGCUGCUCUAGGAAUUUCACCCGAUGAAUCUCCGUCUAGCUCUGCAAAAGGAAAGCUUUUGCCAUCCCCAGUACCAGAAGACAUCAAGCGUAUGCGAGAUAGUCUGUAUUCAAGCACUGUGAAGGCGAGGGAACGUGGGAAAAUGUUCAAUGAAGCCUUAUCUGUAUUCAAUGAAGUUUUCCCAACUGUCAAUUUGAAGAAGAGAUCUCGAGUUGAAAGCUUUUCCAACGAUCGUUCUAGUGUCAUGUUGAAUGACCGCUCAGCCCUGGGGUCAAGCAUGGGUAAGGUUGGUGUUCAAGGUCAUCUCGUCACAGGUGCUUUUGAACUAGAGCAGCAAAAGUCCGAAGAGAGAACCAAAAAUUUGGUUCCAAACAAGCGCACUCGAACUUCUAUGGUUGAUGUGAAGAUGGAUGUACGGACCAAUUCUCUUGUUAGGCCAUUAGGGACCGUUGAUAGAGAUAAGGAAAAGCUACGAAUUGCCAAUAAUGGUGUAGCUCAGAGUGAGGAGCGAAACUUACCUGUUGUAGGUGAUGGUUGGGAAAAGUCAAAAAUGAGGAAGAAGCGAUCAUGCAUCAAGCUAGAUGGUUCUCCAAGUACUACUUUGAACAAACCUACUAGUGGUUUCCAGGAAACAAAACAGGGAAUACAACAAAGACUUGCUACUGAUUCUCGGUCGAAAUUGAGUAACGAUUCUAAUACUUAUAGGCUGGGCAUUUCUAAUGGAACUGUUACAGCUGGCAAAACGGAUGGAGUCUCUCAACAGACUGGGUUGGGUAUACGUGCCCCUAUCCAUAGAAAUGACCAAGAUAAUAGUUCCCUUGUCAACGAUAAGCGGGUUCGUCCUGUUAGUUCAGACAAGGAGAGGGUGAACUUCAGAGCUGUUAACAAGGCAACUGUUCGUGACGAAUUCAAUUCAGCCAGCCCUACCUCUAGUACAAAAUUGAAUGCUGCUAUCCGGGCUCCACGAUCAGGUUCAGGAGUUGCCCCUAAGUUGUCACCAGUUGUCCAUAGAACAGCUGUUCCUAAUGAUUGGGAGCUUUCUCACUGUGCCACAAAGCCCCCAGCUGGUGUUAAUAGUACUAAUAAUCGCAAACGUGUGACAUCGGCACGGUCAUCUUCGCCACCUGUUGUCCCCUGGCAGAGGCCGCAAAAGAGCUCUCGUACUGCCAGGAGAACAAGUUUUGUGCCGAUUGCUUCAAGUAAUGAUGAAGCUUCUGCUGUGGAUGCAGUCUCUGAUGUGUCUGGUAAUGAUAUUGGUUUAGGAUUUGCGAGACGCUCGGCUGGAAGUUCUCCUCAGCAAAUUAAACUAAAAGGUGAACCUUCACCUUCGGCUGCUUUAUCUGAAAGUGAAGAGUCUGGGGUGGCUGAGGUUAAACCAAAAGAAAAGGGCAGGAAACCAGAAGAGAGAGAUCUGAAAGCUGGACAAAAUGUUCCAAAGGUGUCUAACUUGGUAACUAGAAAGAGUAAGCUUGUUUCUGGGGAAGAACUUGGAGAUGGCGUUCGGAGGCAAGGCAGGACCGGGCGCGGUCUCAAUGCCACAAGGUCUCAGAAACCAAUGGCAUUUGAGAAGCUUGGAAAUACUGCAAAACAACUUAGAAGUGCAAGACUAGGAUCUGAUAAGAAUGAAAGCAAAGUGGGUCGUCCACCAACAAGGAAACUUUCUGAUCGCAAAGCCUAUGCUCGUCAAAAGCCUACUGCCAUUUGUGCAGCAGCAGAUUAUUUUGUUGGGUCAGAAGAUGGACAUGGAGAGCUAUUGGCUGCUGUAAAGGGUGUUAUCAACUCUGCCUAUACCUUCUCCAGCCCAUUUUGGAAACAAAUGGAGCCUUUCUUCGGUUUGAUACCUGAUGAAGAUAUUACUUACUGGAAGCAGAAGGUAAAUCUUGAAUCAAGCACUCAGAUGGCAACUCCAGUUCCUAAAUAUAUAGAUGGCGGUGAAACCAUUAAUAGAUAUGGGUUGAUUGGCUGUGAAAGAGAUGUCAGAUCUGAUGUUCAAGGCAGUGCUGGUAUUAUUACAGAAAAAUUACCACCACCCAAGGGAGAUCAUAAAAUGGUACCUCUCUGUCAACGUCUUAUAGCUGCUUUAAUCUCAGAGGAAGAUCGUAGUGGUGGAAAUGAAGAUUUCAAGUUUGACGCAUUUGAUACUGAAUCCGAGCCUGAUGGAGAAUCAGAAUUGAAUGGUUUGAAUCAACGCUCAUUAACUAAAUUUCAGUUUGCUUGUCAUUCUGCUUAUAAUGGUUAUGGGAUUACUGGGAAGCCAACACACGAUGAAACUGAAAGUGAUAUGAUUGAUAUUCCUAAUUUUGGGUUGAAUCCAAGCUUUGGCAACUCGGUAAAUGGUUUUCUUCAUGAUAAGACAUUAAUGUCUGGCUUGGCCUGUUCAGAGUUGCAAUAUAAUAGCUUGGACAUAAAUGAUAAGCUUCUAUUGGAGCUUCAAAGUAUUGGACUUGACCUAGAAUCCGUGCCUGAAAUGGUGCAAGAAGAUGAUGAAGCCUUAUUGGAGGAUAUUACUAGGUUAGAAGAGCUGUACCAAGGACAGGUUUCCAAUAAGAGAAACUUGCUAGAUGGAUUGUUGAAAUCUGCGUCAGCCGCAAAAGAACUUCGGGAAAAGGAUUUUGAUCAACGUGCUCUUGAUCAACUUGUUGUUACAGCUUAUGAGAAAUACACGGCUUGUCGAGGUUCUAGUGCCUCGGGUGGGAAAAAUUCAAGCAACAACAAAAUGGUCAAGCAAGCUGCAUUGGCAUUUGUUAAAUGGACAUUGGAGCGAUACCACCAAUUUGAAGAUACAGGCAAGAGCUGUUUCAGCGAGCCUUUAUUCAAGGAUAUGUUCCUUACUGCUUCUUCCCAGCAUAGUAUUGUUCGGCAAUCAGAUGGACUGGAGGCUGAUUCCUCAAAACUUUUCCUGUCUCCGGAAGCAACAACAGCUUCCAUGGGUUCACAGCAGAGCCCAUCACAAUAUUUUCAGAAUAUGGAUAAUCUGGAUUUCACUUCAUCAGAUAUGCUUCCUGCAUUAAAUCAUUCAUCUGAACAAACCAGUGGCAGGGAAGAUUUCUGGUCAAACAGGGUCAAGAAGAGAGAAUUGUUCCUUGAUGAUGUUGGGGGUGCUCAAGGUAAUUCAAGUGCUCCGGGCAUUGGAAGUUCUCUAGCAAGCACUGCUAAAGGAAAGAGGAGCGAGAGAGACAGAGAUGGAAAGGGGCAUGGCAGAGAGGUACUUUCAAGAAAUGGAACUACGAAAGUUGGUAGGCAGGCAUCAUCCAUUGUUAAAGGAGAAAGGAAAACCAAAACAAAGCCUAAACAGAAAGCAACUCAGCAUUCUGUUUCUGUAAAUGGCCUCGUUGGUAAGUUGUCAGAGAAACCAAAACCAGUAUUGCCUUCUGUUUCAAAGUCUAUCGAAAAGCCUAGUAAUAGAAGUGCCAGGGAAAAGGAUGAUUUUGGUUUGGGUGGAUUGGAUGAGCCAAUUGAUUUGUCCAACCUGCAGCUGCCUGGAAUGGACGUGCUCGGUGAUCCCGGUGACCUUGCUGACCAAGGUCAAGAUCUUGGUUCAUGGUUGAAUAUUGAUGACGAUGGAUUACAAGAUCAUGAUGACUUUAUGGGCCUUGAAAUUCCUAUGGAUGACCUUUCAGACUUGAAUAUGAUGGUUUGAAGCUGCUUUCUUUGUAUAGAGUUCUUAGUAUACCAACAAUAACAAAGGAAACAAAGUACCCUGAAAAAAUAACCGGUUACAUAGGAUGGUUUUAUGGCUAAUUCUGUCUACAAGUAGGUUCUAUAGAUUCUUUGGUAAAUUAUUCUCUCCAAGUUGCUUUUGAGUGGCGCUUUCAGCUGUUUUGGAUUUUGCUUGUGUUCAAGUUCUUGACUUCCACUGUAAAGAUCUUUUUGUUCAAGAUACAUGCCUCAAUGUGAUGUGGUGUUUGUGGUUUGCAGCAGUGGCUUCAUCAAGGUAUUAUCCACAUUAUUCUAAGAGGUUUACGCUGGAAGUUUUGAUGACUGAUUUGAGUGGGGUCAACUGAUUAUUGCCCGUGUUUCAUCAGAUAAUCCAUUGUUGCUUGCUUUUGUUACUUUGGAAAUUAUAUGUAUGAAGAAGAUUCUGGGUAUCAAUCUUGACCAUACAUUUUACCGGAUUUUGUAGUAGUCUAUACGCUCAAAAGUUCUUAAUUAGGAAUUGAGAGAAUUAUUAUUGUCCUUCUAGUUGUGUACAACAUUUGAGGGUUAAGGGUCAUCUUAUGGAUGUAAAUACUUCAUAUGUUUCUUCCAUGGUGAAAUUUAGCGGCAGUAGUUUUUAUGUAAGGUAAUGUUCCUAAGUAAGGAUUCUUGAUUUCCAUUUUUCUAUUUAAAUUAAGAUAUGUAUGUCUGUCUUGGAAGAGACUGUUUGGAUAUUAACUAUGGAUAGUUAAUAGCAUGUGGCUCUCAUUGAUUAGCUUACUCCUUUAGCACAACUCUCUCUAGUUGCAUAUUUUAUGUUGCUGGUAUCAGGAUUUUUCUAUAUAUUGGGACUUAUGUGAAUUUAUAAGGCAAUUUCUUUUCCUGACCUAUAAUAUUC